UACGAAGGGGGCUAGCGUUGCUUGGAUUGACUGGGCGUAAAGGGCGCGUAGGCGGUUCGUACAGUCAGACGUGAAAUUCCUGGGCUCAACCUGGGGGCUGCGUUUGAUACGUGCGGACUUGAGUGCGGAAGAGGGUCGUGGAAUUCCCAGUGUAGAGGUGAAAUUCGUAGAUAUUGGGAAGAACACCGGUGGCGAAGGCGGCGACCUGGUCCGAUACUGACGCUGAGGCGCGAAAGCGUGGGGAGCAAACAGG
rnacentral:rRNA from 1 species